rnacentral:rRNA from 1 species
AAUAUUGGACAAUGGGCGAAAGCCUGAUCCAGCCAUGCCGCGUGUGUGAAGAAGGUCUUCGGAGUGUAAAGCACUUUGAGGUGGGGGGGAGGGCAGUAAGUUAAUAACUUGCUGUUUUGACGUUAGCGCCAGAAGAAGCACCGUCUACAUUCGUGCCAGCAGCCGCGGUAAUACGAGGGGUGAAAGCGUUAAUCUGAAUUACUGGGCGUAAAGAGCGCGUAGGUGGUGUGUUAAGUUGGAAGUGAAAGCCCCGGGCUCAACCUGGGAAAUGCUUUCAAAACUGGCAAGCUAGAGUAUGGCAGAGGGUGGUGGAAUUUCCUGUGUAGCGGUGAAAUGCGUAGAUAUAGGAAGGAACACCAGUGGCGAAGGCGACCACCUGGGCUAAUACUGACACUGAGGUGCGAAAGCGUGGGGAGCAAACAG